AAUGCCGGCCCCGCGCCGCCGAAGGGGGGUCGGGAUGGAUGGGGGAUGCGCCUUCCCUCCUCCUGCCCUGCCUGAGCCCAGCCCGGCCUCCUGCAGGAACGUGGGGAGCUAUUCCCUGCCCAAACUCUGCUUUUGCCUUCUUACAGGGCUCGGGUCUGUCUUUAUUUCCAUCCUCUCCCUGCCCCUGGCAUCUCCUGCAGCUGGAUGGCUGUUGGCACCAAAGGCAGCAGGUGUGCUGGAGGAGGAAAAGGAAGAUGGGAAGACCUGAUUGCCUUGGAGCAAAUUCAUCAUCCAGUUAAUAGAAUAGUUGGAUCUGCUGGAGGCAAGUUCAUCAAAUGUGGGAUGCACAACAAAUCCACUCUGGGCGCUGUCUCUGUUUCACCACGUGCCAUGAAUUCAGCAAUUCAUCACUGCCUGAAGCUUUCCUGACUUCCCUGGCAUUUGCAGGAAGGUGCAUGGUCACCCUGUGGAAGCAGAUCUCCAGGAGAGCCAUCCACCUCAUCCCUGGUGAGCACAUCCAGGUUCCUCCAGUUUUCCAGCAGGUGGGUGGUCACAGACUGGAGAGCUUGGCAGCUUUUUCAGUGCUGCUGUUUGCUGCAGGAACCACACAUUUUUACCUUUGUAUGGAAUAAUCCCGUCCUGAUGAAAUCCAGGAUUUGUGCAGCCAAGCUGACCUUGCAAGUGCCACCACCCUUUGCAGCUGCCCAGACACCAACCCUGCAUUUCCUGAUCCUCUUCCUCAGCUCUGCAAAUCCUCCUUCCUAAACCAAUCCUGGAGGACAGCUCCCAAUCCAUUUCCCAAUACUGGGCAGCAGCUCCCACACCAGGAUGCCCUUAUCUCUGUACAUCCCUGUGCAGGGGGGUCCUUGGCUGCCCCAGCCUGCCCCACCUUGCUGAUGCAUCUGCAGCCCUCCCUCAGGGCACAGGGGAGGCUGAGUGGAGCUUUCCCUUCUCCCACCACCCGGUCUUGGAGUGUGUGGGAAGCUCAGUGCUCCCGGGACGUUGGGAUGAGUCAGUGUUUGCACAUCCUGAGUCACUCCAGGGAGUUGCUAGAGAGGAGAGGGGGAUGCCCAGCCUUAUCUGGGGGUGUAAAUAUCCCAGGAAAUUCUGUCUGAAAGAAAAUUCCCAUUGAGAGGUCACCACCUUGUAGGGCCGCCACCAUGGACCACAAGUGUCACUCCAUGAAAAGAAGUUAUUUCCUGGUCCUGCUUCCAUGUGAAUCCUUUCAGAUGGCCCUCAGCUGGUUAUCUGGGAGGGGUGCCACAUCCCCAGCCCAUGGCUGUCCUUGGAAACUUCCUGGGACAUGCCAAGGUGUUCCUCUUGGCAGCUCCCUCAGAGCAAGUUAGUGGAACCAGGGCAUCCAACAGCCAGGGAGGCCAUGGAGGAAUGCCAGGCAAGUUCUCAAAGCAGGGCUUUUGGGAUGUCUUUUGAGGAGAAUGAAUUCCCAGCCCUCCCACUCAUUGCAAUUUUUAUCACUGUUUUGGGGCUUUUUUGAGUUAGAGAUGCUCCUGAGCUCAUGGAGGCUUUGGGAGUGGAUUGGCUCAGGAGUCCAUCCCUGGUGCUCAAAGCAGGUUUAAGAUUUAAAGGGGAGAGUGGACACCCUCACUGACACCAACAGGCACCUUGUCCUCUGUGCCUUGAUGAACCCCAGAGAACACCACAGGAUACUUCAAAUACACACCCAGGCUUUAGAUUUUUACCUCCAUUUCCAGCUUGAAUGCCAUGAAUUCCCAGGUCAAGAAGAGCUGGAAGAACCACCUCAGGAUAUUCUGUUCUGAGUCCCUGCCUUUAACAUGAACUGAAUUUUCUGUGCUUGCUCAGAGCAGAGGCUGAGCAGGGAGUGAGGCCAGAAAAACAGGGGGUCAUGUCAGACUUUCUUUUUCUCUCCUCUUAACACUGAAAUAAAAAUACAUCUCGAACUUGUUUUGGGAUUAACAAGAAAAAAAUUCCUCUUGAUGGGAACCAUCUGUGGCCGGGAGAUGCCGGCUGCUCUCUGCUUCCCACCCUCACCCAGACGCUGUCAUUCGGGGUGUGUUCCUCUCCCAAAUAUUAUUCCUCUCAUCCCUGUGCUGGUGGGAGGAAUCCCAACUAUUUAAGGAGGCUUUUCUCCCAGCAUCUCAAAGCAGCAGCAGCUGGUGACACCUCUGGAGGAUAAUAUUUGCUCUCCUCAUUACAGCACAGCUUGCUGGUGGCUGCUGGGCUCCGAGGGGGAGCACUGCAAGUGUCCUGGGUGUGACCUUUCCACCCCAGAUGUCACCUCAGGGUCACAGCAAACACCUCGAGGCCUCUCUGGCCUGUCCCACAAACCAGGAGGGGAAAUGUGCCCCGAGGAGUGGAGAUUCCCUGGCUCUGCCUCUGCUGUGCUGCUGGAAAUGAGGGCGUUGGUGCUGGUCCCUUCAUGGUGUCGAAGAAUGAGGACGUUUCUGGGGUGGAUCUUGGCCCCAGCUGAGGUUUUGGGAUGGGAAAUGCAACUUCUGGGCUGGAUUGGCAAUGGGAGGAUGAAGAGGUGCAUUUGCAGCAUCAGAAACUCCAGAGAGAUUUGGAGCAGGGAGAAGCCUCCAAGGCCAGGAAGAGGAGAGGAAGCUCAAGGUGAAUGCAGCAGAACCCAGGGCAGGUCUGGCCUGGGAGGAAAAGCUGGAAGAGUUUCUCUGCUCUCUCCAUGCAGCUGAGGAGGCUGCCUGGCUGGAAUGUCUCCUCCUGGGAUCAGCUCCUGGCAGGUUGAGCAGGAAGCUGGAGCAAGACGAGCCCAACAGGUUCUGGGCUGUGAAACCUCCUGGAUGGCAGCACAUCCCUGCCCUGGGAUCCAAGAGCUGAACUGAAAUGGACCCAAAUGAGCAUUUUGGAGGGCUUUCCUAAACCUGGUGGGAUGAAGGACUUUUGUGUGGACCUUGACAUCUUCAGAGUGAUCUACGCCUGGCUUGGGAGGUGGUUUGGAUUCAUUUGGAGAAAGGAGGGCAGGACAUUCAGGCCUUGCUUACCCUCCCCUGUGGGGACCCUCCAGUUCCUGUACUCUGCCAGGACUGAGCUAAUCCUCACUUCUCCUCCAUGGAGCCCAGCAGGAGCUGGUUGGAGUGAGGGAUGCUGCUCCCUCCUUCCCCCUGGGGCUGGCACGAAGCAUCACAGUGGCA